GCAGAGUCGGGUUCAGCGGCUCUGAGACUUCUGAGCGAGCGCAGGCGUGCGGGGCCGAGAACAGCCCAGAAUCCACGGACAAAAGUUCUUCUUCCACCACUGAAGAAAAAAAGAAACAUGAGAAAAAAAGCAAAGGUAAUUCUGGAGCUGGGAACUGAAGUCCAGUUGCUGGGAUGCAAACUCUCCCUCAGCCCCUUGAGGCCUUCGCAUUGCGUUUCUGGUAUGAAAGCCAGAGAGAAACUGCUUUCUGUUUCCAUUAGGAAUUGAGUUACUGAGACCUGAAAUAACAGAGACAUAUACAAAGUCGGAGGUAUUUUUCCUCUAGUGAUGAGAAAUGGGGCUGGCAGAAGGCCCUCUGGCAAUUGUGCCUGGGCUCACUGUCAGGAUCAGUCAGCAAGCACACAGACUCCACCCUUCAAACCACACCUGCACAAACCUGGAAGGGUCUCCUGCCCUCCCGUCCUGUACGAGCCCUUGUCUCCCCUGAGCCCUCUUGUCUGUGGGUCCCCGAUGGACCCUGGGCCACUCUGCCUCAGUGUUUGCUCCCAGGGUACAGGCCUCCUCCAGAACCAGGCUGAGACCUCACAGAGCCUCUGCUGACCACCCCCCUCACAGGCCAGGGCAAGGCAGAUGAUUUUUCUCUGUUCUCUACACUCUGAGCACCACUCUGUUUUGUAAAUUCUGCUUUGAUAGGAUCAAAUUAUUAUUAUUUUUUGUCUUUUUGCUGCACCUGUGGCAUAUGGAGGCUCCCAGGCUAGGGGUUGAAUCGGAGCUGUAGCCGCUGGCCGAUACCACAGCCACAGCAAUGCGGGAUCCGAGCUGCAUCUGCAACCUACACCACAGCUCACGGCAACGCCGGAUCCUGAACCCACUGAGCGAGGCCAGGGGUCAAAUCUGCAACCCCAUGGCUCCUCGUUGGAUUCGUUUCCUCUGAGCCACUACGGGAACUCCCAAAAAUGUAUUUCUUCUUUUAAAUAUGAUAUUCUUUUUACUUUCAAGAGUUUUUUAUUUUUAUUUUUAUUUUUUAGACAGUGAAACCUCUUUCUUCUAAAGUAAGAAUGGGGGAAGCAACCAUGUGUUUAAGCCCUAAAUUUGGUGCCCUGUGGGGCCCCUCUUGUCUGACACCCAGUGAGCUGAGCGGUGGGAGCCUCACCUUUACUCCUGGGAGAAGGGCAACAGAAUCGGGGUCUGCGGCAGCCCCCACCUCCCACAUCCCUGCCCUGCCUCCCCAGACUUCAGGCUCUGGGUCCUCUCCUGCUUCCAAGCCCAGCCUCGCCCCUGGGAAGUUCCAGGAGACCCCCUACAGGGACCAAGCAUGUCCUCCAGAUGCCCAUCCCCCUCAGUGCCAGGGUCAGCUGGUCCCAUUACUUACAAAUGCAGGCAGAGCUUCUCUCUUCUCUGGAGCUGGGGUGCCUGAGAUUUUAAAUGAGAGGGGAAGAGGGCCAGGAACGAAGCACAUGUCUGAGACACAGUGGGGUCUGUGUUCACAAGUCUCUUUCGGACGCCAGGGACAGAAGCCCAAGUCCAAGUAGGUGAAACGGGACAGUUAAGUUUAUAGAGCUGGAAGGUCCAGGGGUGGCCUUCAGGCACAGCUGGAUCUAAGAGAACACUCGCUGCUGGCUCAUGGUUUCAUGGAAGCCCUGUUGCUGGGCUAGGAGGGUGCCCGGACCUCAGAGGCACAGAUCACCGCUUGGAAGGGCUGGCCCGUUUCUCCAUGAGCUGUCUCCCUCUCCAGUGUCCAUGAUGCUUCCCGACCGUUCAGAUAAUCCCUUCCACAUGUCCGAGGAUGUGGAUUUCUUCUUGCUCAGAGAUAAGGAGCGGAAUAAGUCUCUCGCAGUGAGUAUGCAGGCGAAGCCUGCCCACGCCUCUUCCCUCGCACAGCCCAGCCAGACCGCGCACACAUCAGGCCACUGUCUUCCUCUGGAAUAAUCAAUGUCUCACCAUUUCCUAUGAAGUCAACUCAAAACUGCCUGGCCCCAGGUCUCUGUGUGUCCCACUGUCUUACCAGUUUCCUCACCACUGUCCCCGGACCUUUGUUAAGGUGUCUUCCUCGGAGCUUCCGUGGCCGCAGCCUUAGCCAGCAUGGCUUAACUUCUGCUGUCCCUGUGUGAUGCUCCCUGUCCCUCAAGACCCUAGGAACCGCCCGGCCUGCUCUAACUUUGCACAGUCCCCUCUCACUGGAAUUCUUGGAGGCCAGAUGCACCCCCCCCCCCCACCNNNNNNCCCCCCCCCCCACAGCAGUGCCUGGGAGCCUGACCCCCAGCCCGUGGCUCGUCUGCAUCCCACCUCACACCCUUCCCCCCAGCACAGCCCCCCAGUGUCCUCAGACUGACCCCAAGAAGCUGCCCAGUGUCCUUAAAUCACUGACCUUUUGCCACUGGGAUUCUAAUGAGUGACGUUUUCCCAACAUCAUUGUGCAUGGAUAUGCAAAUUAGUGGCCUCAAGCUGGAUUUCUGCACACAUUAGAGGUAGAAUAGGUCUCGCACCUGGCAGGGCCAGCAGGAAGUAGAAUUUGACCAGGAGAAGCCAUAUGAAGACCAUGUGAGGGCUUAUCCAAUCAGGCAGGCCCUCCAGAGCCAACAGGGAUAUGGAGGUCCCAGGGCCUGGACAGCAGGAGAGGCUGGGAGCCCCUGUGGCAAAAGGGGCACACCAGGCCUCUGGGAAGAAGAGCUCCCAUCCCAUCCUAUCCUGGGACCCUCCUAUGUGAAGGCUGCUGGCCAAAUGCAGAAGCCCAAGCCACUGCCUACCUGCAGCUCAGCUCUUGCAGGAGGGGUGGGGAGGCUGAGCCUGCCUGAUCCCGCCCCCCAGGAUCGGGAGAAGAAGAAGAUGCUUCAGGUGCACGAGAAGAUGACGUCCUCUUCCAAAGUGUCAGCCAAGCAUGCCAGCCUGCGGCGCGAGCUGCAGCUGGAGGAUGAGAUGGAAGACCUGGAGGUGCAGGCGCACGCCGAGCAGCUGCGCACCUUCCACGACCAGAUGGCCUGGAAACUCUCCAAGACCCGAGGUGCUGUCCCGGACCCCUGAAGUCAGGUGGUGGCCAUUCCUGUCGAAACAGUGCUGUUAAAGUGCUUGGGGAUGCGGGGCUAUGGUGCCGUGGGGGCAGGGGGAGGGUCUCCUCUGUGCCUGACUUCUGCUCUGUCACAAAGAUCCAUUCCAGACGGAUUGCAAGCUUUCGAAUCCCAGUACUGCAUGCGAUCCGAAUGCUGAACUGUACAGUGAAUUCAGGCUGUACAGUGUAUAAAAUGCAGUCAUUUAACU
rnacentral:lncRNA from 1 species